rnacentral:lncRNA from 1 species
GGAAACCACGGAGAAGCCUGUUUGAUGAAGGAAUAGUAGUGAAACAGAUCGUAUGCAUUACCACAGGGCCCAGCACUCUUUAUUUGCUCAAAAGUUCCAUUGACGCCCUAAUUCCAAAUCAGUAAAGGCCAAAUCCCUCUCUAAAUUAAAAAAUAAAAAAAUAAACAAAAACAAAAAAACCUCACAGUAAGAAAUACACUCCCCCACCCUCUUCCUUGUCUUAAGAGAGGACUCUCCUUUCUCCAGAGGAUGUCUGGUGUUGAGCUGGUUUUCUCUUGACCACAGAAGUUUUGGAUUUUUCUCCUUGCCUCUGAAGAAUUUAGGAAACACACUUAGAAUAAAUUAGACUUGGAAUAAAAGCCCACACAGUUCUUGACUUUGCUGCUGACUUCAUCUCAAAGGUAUGUGGCGCCAUGAUACGUAAAUGCUCUUAAUAAAGCGAGUUCGCUUCAAGAGCACUUCACUCCUUGUUCACAGACAAGCAUAUUCUGUGUGUUUACCUCAUAGCAAGCAGUGAACACACUAGAGAAAUGAGCCAGAAGUCAUUCUCUCUCUGUGCGUCACUUGAAUUCAGUGUGUCAGUACUUCAGCACCUCAGGAUGUCUGUUUAUUCCUGCGGGAAAUGCUCCUGAUUUUGUUUCUGUCACUAAACAUCCAGGAAAGGCUCAAAUUUGGAAGGGCUGGAAACUGUUGUGGUUCAUCAGACCUUUAAACCUGAUGAGAAUCAGUGUCUGUUGCUGGCUGCUCCUUGUCUGCACCCACUUCCUCAGAAUAAUACUACAGAUAGUAUUACAUUGCACUAGGCUUAUUUUCCUCAUCAUAACUGUAUUUUUAAAUGGACAAAUAUCCAUACUUGUACAUAAGUUUAAAAUUUACUCGUGAUUUUAAAACAAUAUAUUAAGUAAUUGCUAUUCAAGUACUAGAAGGAAAUAUAUAUUUUCUUUAUAUGCUUCAGCAGUAAAAUACACAAACUCAUGGGCUGUGAGAGCAUUAACUUACAUCAAAUAAAUCUUAGUGAUGGUUGAAAAUAUUUUUUUUAAUUAAGAGUACAAAAUCAAGACAUUUGUGAACAAUAAGGAAUUUAUUCUUACAGAAAUAUCCAUAAUUUGACAUAAAAACACCUUGAAGAAUAAUGACCAGCAAGCAUAAAAUUUACAAAGACACAUUCCCUAAGCAGAAACUAAAUUUCAACACUGGGAACUAAAACAGCCUGGUAAAUGGUCACACAUUAGUGACCAUAGCAUAAGAACCUGUGAAGAAGUAGAGAUUUUCUUGUGUACUAGCCAAUCAUGUGUGUAUUUGACAUGUUUAUACUCAUUAUAAAGUCAUGAAUCUAUUCUGUUUUAGUGUGUUUGCUUUCAACAUUUAUUGCACUCCAAAACCAUUGAAACAGAGAACUGUCCCUUUAGUAGCUGAUUCAAGUUCUAAAGGUGGGGCAACAUUUGUGUGUGCUCCUAGAUCAUGGAGUCUUAUGGAGAGCCUUUCUUAAAGGCUCUUAAAACUUUUUCUUAAAACACUCCUCACACUUCUUCAUCCCAGCUUAAGACCUACUCUUGAAAUAUCCCACCUUAUAGUCUUUCUUCACUAGCUUGCUCCACACUACUUGUCUUUCUGGGUGCCAUUUGUAGAGCUGUCUGCCCAUUUGCACUGGCAUCCGGCGUGUGCUAACCUUUAUGGUAGGUAACAUUGCUAGGUCCUUACUGUGUGUCAGGCACAGUGCGAAGGAGCUUUCACAUACCAUCCCAUUUGCCCCUAUCCCUACUAGAGAAUACAGAUCUGAGGCCUAACAGUUUCAAGGUCCUCAAAAACUGGAAGGGCAAGAAAUCUAAUUCUAGUAUGUAAUCACAACCUUUGAUCAACAAACUUACGUUCUUCUCCAUGUUAACAGUAUGUUGGAUAUGAGACAAAGACAGAGUAGGCUGUAUUUGUCCAAGGAAAUGAAACAUUUCCUUAUAUACAUGGCAGUAUAAUUUAGUCCUUCUACAAAAAAAAUGAGUUGAAUAUCUCCUUAAAUAUUUUAUCAACUAAUUUCAAAACUGAGAUCAAAGUUUUAUCCCAUGAACCUCACAUUCUAUAAGGAAAGGAAAUUGGAAAAUAAAUAAGUAAAAACACAUACUAUACCAAGAUGUGAGACAAGAUUUUGAGGAAAACUUGUGAAAAUAAGAGGAAGAAGAAAAGAAUAAAAUAGGGGAGUUGUCAUUUUUUUAAAAUGACAGUUAUUUUUGGUAUUUUGAAUUGAUUCUUUAUGCACACAUGAAAAAAGAAAAUCAAUACUUGAAAUGCAACCAAGUUUUUCCUACUGCUGCACCAUUAGGAUAGCAGAUUGACCUACAGAGGUCAUUUGACUUUUAAGCAAAGAGUUUGAUUUUAUAAAAAUGGUAUCAUUUGGGUUGAUUUUAUAAAAUGUAUUAACAUACAUUCUAAAAGACCUUCUGUGCUCUAAUUAAUUGGUGAAACACUUCCUGGUGCUGAAAUAAAGACCAUUAGGUAGAAUUAUGGCCAAGAGAGGUUGGAUAAAUGACCCUUUACCUAAAUGUUGUGUUAACAUUUGUGGAAGAAAGGAUCCUGAUCUCAACACCUGGCUCUGUCCUGACUGGCUUCGAUGCUGGUUUUACCAUUCAUCAGUGAGGCCUGAGUUCCCUUACUUUCUAAGUGGACGUGAUCAUAGUACUUCCUAUGUGCUUUUGUAAAAAUUAAAUGCACCAAUACGUGUGAAAUAUUUCCAACAGAGCUUGAAGCACAAUAAGUAAAGUGUUUCCUAAUGAUUCCUUUGACUUCUCCAGUAUUUACACUAUCCUAAGACUAAUACAGGCACUUGUAUGUAUCAUUGCUCUUCUCUGCACAAUCCUAGGAGUGACAUAAAACUUCUGUCACCAGUUACUGAGAAGAAAGAUAAAAACUAGAAGCAUUAAUGCCCUGGGUCUACUAACCACUAAGUGUUCUGGCCAGAAUGUUAACCCACAAUGACUGCUGUGAACUAGCUAAGGUUUUUCUGCUGGUAAAUUACAAGAGCUUAGUGUGGAAGCUGAAUUCCUAGCUUGCUAAGAAUGAUGAUGUGCACCACCCCCAACAAUUGGAAAUGUGUCUUUUCCAAGGCCUCAUGUGCUUGUUUCUACACAACAGCUGAUAUAAUCAUUCUUGGUGGUCUUUCUCUUCUAGAAAAGUAGAUGCCAUGUUUG